AGUGAACGCGGCGGCGUGCCUAAUACAUGCAAGUCGAACGGAAUUUAAAAGAGCUUGCUCUUUUAAAUUUAGUGGCGCACGGGUGAGUAAUAUAUAGCUAAUCUGCCCCUUGCUGGAGGACAACAGUUAGAAAUGACUGCUAAUACUCCAUACUCCUUUUUACCAUAAGAUAAAUCGGGAAAGAAUUUCGGCAAGGGAUGAGACUAUAUCGUAUCAGCUAGUCGGUGGGGUAACGGCCUACCGAGGCUAUGACGCGUAACUGGUCUGAGAGGAUGAUCAGUCACAUUGGAACUGAGACACGGUCCAAACUCCUACGGGAGGCAGCAGUAGGGAAUAUUGCGCAAUGGGGGAAACCCCUGACGCAGCAACGCCGCGUGGAGGGAUGACACUUUUUCGGAGCGUAAAACUCCCUUUGGUAAGGG
rnacentral:rRNA from 1 species